GAGAGUACAGUUCAGUGGUAGAGCGUGUGCUUAGCAUGCAUGAGGUCCUGGGCUCAAUCCCCAGUCCCCCCA
rnacentral:tRNA from 1 species